rnacentral:lncRNA from 1 species
AUCAGCCGAAGGCCCACACGCUAUCUACAUAAGAGAAACCCAAAUUGUCAAAACCUUGAGACCGAGCUCCAAUUGAAUCUCUCGCUCAGGACGACCUGACAUGCAAAAUGCACAUCAUCACCGCUCAGGCAGUAAAAACUAAGGAAAAAGAGUAAGUCAUAGAAAGACCCAAGGAGACAAACAGGGGGAAGCAUGAUAAAGGUCAGACCAGCCUAUCACCUAAAAAG